CCUACGGGCGGCUGCAGUAGGGAAUAUUGGGCAAUGGGCGAGAGCCUGACCCAGCCAUGCCGCGUGCAGGAAGACGGCCCUUCGGGUUGUAAACUGCUUUUAUCAGGGAAGAACGGCCUUUUUGCGAAGAGGUGUGACGGUACCUGAGGAAUCAGCACCGGCUAACUCCGUGCCAGCAGCCGCGGUAAUACGGAGGGUGCAAGCGUUGUCCGGAUUUAUUGGGUUUAAAGGGUGCGCAGGUGGCCUGUUAAGUCUGACCUGAAAGUGGGCCGCUC
rnacentral:rRNA from 1 species